UAACCGAUUCCUUGCCACCUACAUUUUUCAAAUCUAUUCGCCCGGGCCCCAUAUAAAAUGUAUUGACGCGUGAGUCGCGUCAUUGGCCCUCCUGAAUGGUGACGCACCUAGUGCGUCAUUGGAACCCGGUAAUGUUUUUGAUACUAUUUUAAGUAGUUUCAAGUAUAAUAAUACAAAGUGAGACCUGUUACCGUGUGUUUUGUUUUAUUAAUUAGUUUAGUGUGCUUUAAAGUGACUAUCUACGUGUCUAAUAGGAAAUGGAAGAAAUUAGAAAACGAAAAUAUAUUCCGGAAACGGAACAAGAGACACAGUGCGAGGAUGACCAGUUAUUUGAGGAGAACUCUCAAUCCUGGGAAUUUGAUAGUGGAACAAAUUAUGUAAGGGAUACUAGGAAGAAUACAACGAAGGAUAGUGCAACGUGCACAGAAAAGCAGACGGAAGAUGUAAAGGCUGUGACAGUCGUGGAUAUGCACGGCUGCAAAUAUUUUGGGCAAUUUGUGUCCAAUGAAUUACUUCGAUUUAACAUUACUCAAAGAUAUGUUAUUAUGCAAAAUAUUAUAGAAAUAUUAAAAAAAUAAUUUAAUUAAUACAUUACGAGUAUGUAUGUAAGAUAAGGUUAUAAGCAGGGGUAAAUGAAAGAAAUAUUUAAGUUUUUGAAGAUUUAUUACAAAUUAAAACAUAUUACAAUAUCGUACCCACGUAUGUCUAUUGUUCAUUUUGGUAAUUAAACACUGCUUAUUUGACUGAUUAUUUUAAUUAGGUAAUUAAGGAUUUGGUUUCAUAGGAACAACAUAAUUACUUACUUUAAUUGUUUUACAUGUUAGAACUGAUUAAUCAUAGUGAUCAUUAAUUGUACCUGAUUAUUAAGAAAUUCGUAUAUCAUAUAUAAGCAAUUAUUCUACCUCCAUGGCGCAGUGGUUAGAGCGUUAAAUUCUCAAAUCAAUAAUGAUUAGUAUUUGUGAAAUGCUCUAAAACAUUCCAGGCAUAAUCCAGGAAAACCUGGACAGUCAGGACAGCCAAACAACACAUCGACUCUUUUUUUGUGGACAUUAAAGCAGAGCCUGCACCGUUUUCUCAUUGUUUUGCCAUUUCUUUUGGGUAAAUGUGCUGGCAAAUGAAUUCUACCCGAAACUGACGGUCGAAUAUUCUCUGAUUUAUUGGGUAACAGGUAUUCAAUUAUUCGUAAUCUAAAAUCAUAUAAAGUUGUCUUCCUUUCUCUGUUUAAAUUAUAAAGGAAAAAAGAAUUUAAUAAUUGCAUCUGCAUGAUGUGGAUAAUUACUUUUUUAUACCACCUUAACGUUUUAUGUUCUGCAUAAUAAUAAUUUAACAUUUGGUCAUGCUUGUCCACUGAUCUCAUAAAUUUAUUGUAAUUUACCUGCACUUUAGGUUUAAACGAAACGUUUCCGUAUUUAUUUUUUGAAAGUAUGUAUUCACUAUUGUGUUCAGAACUCACGAAACAGACCUCCCUCUUAUCUAGCCAUUUUGUCACUGUUACAUUUUUAUUGUUAUGCAUAAUACAUGCUUCAUUUUUUUGUAAUUUUGUAUUAAUUAAAUCUUUGGGAUUCCCUUUUUUAUUUUGCCUUAAAGUGCCGGUUAAAUAUGUGUUAUUAUUUAAUAAUUCGUGGGCCAUAUCAACGCUUGCAUAAUAAUUGUUUACAUAUAUAGAAUGACCAACAUUUAAAUAGUUUUGAGUUAGUAAACGUAAUACUUUUUUGACGUGACCACGACCACCCACUACAUUAUCUUGAGCCCCAGCAUACAAAUGUAUUUUCAUGCAGAUACCGUUAUUUUCGGCUAACAUAUAUAAUUUUAUGCCAUAUUUGUGAACUUUAUUUUUCAUAUAUUGACGAAAUCUUAAUCGACCUGUCCAUAAUAUCAGAGAUUCAUCCACAGUCAACUCUUUACUUGGAUAAUAUAUUUCUUCUAAUGUUUUAUUAAAUAUGUCAAUUAAUGAGCAUACCUUUUUAAUGCUUUCAUUGCCUGGAAUAUUUUGAACAUUCAACGCUCUUAAAAUCAUGAAGAAUCUAUUUCUUGACAUGUAGUUUUUUAAUGUAAAAUCAAAUAAAUAAUGUUUUUUCCAGUAAUCAGUGAGCCGAUUUAAUUUUAUUAAUCCCAUUAGGAAAAUAAUGCCAAUAAAGGUCUGGAAUUCUGGCAAAGAUAUUGGUUUCCACCUUUUGAAUCGUGUAUGCCCUGUACUCGUGGAUUUCAGGAUUUUACCAUUUGCGUUUGUACACGUUAUUAUAAGAUCAUAAAAAUGAUUGUUGAAUAACAAAUUAAAAAAAUCAAUUGGUUCAGUUCCGGUCAUAUUUUUUUUAAGACCAGGGUUGCCAGUAAACGGAAUUAUAUUUUCAAGAGCUGGAUUACCCAUGGUCCAGGUUCCUUCUUGAAGUACUUCCGCGUCUCGCAGUACUGGUUGCUCAUUUUCGGUAGUAACUACCUCUUCCUCAGCCAAAUCUAUCCAAUCAUCUUCCAAAGUUUCUCCCAGCAGUAUGCCAUAUAAGUCCUGGUCCGUAAAUAGAUUCUCCUCGUCUGGAAGUAUAUCUCUUGGAGACUCCAUUGUCCUCAAAAUAUUUUCUAUUUCAUGUUCUGCUCUAGAAGUCGACGGUUGAUCCAUUGUUCUAAAAAAAUCAAAUGCGAGGUGUAAGUUACAUAGUUUCAACUUUACGUCCCUAAUUUUUUUUAUUUCAUUUUUUUUGUAUUAACGUGCAGACUGAGUCAUUACGUUUAAGAACAAUGCCGCGCAACUCGUUAUCGAUAAAGGGAUGCCGCUCGGGCGCAAAUAAAUACAACAAUAGCAUUGUUUUUACCUUGCGUUGUACGUUUCCCUGUUUUAGUUUACUAGUCAUUAUACCUACUAUAUUUUGUUGAGCUUUUAUGUUCUGGUAAGUUUGUUGUUUGUAAAAAAAACUUAACAAAUAACGUUAGUUUUGUUUGAUAAUUUAUCACAAUUUAAACUUUGUUCUUCAAAAAUUAAAUAAAGGAUUAUUUAUUAACAAUACUGUUUAAAAUAAAACUAUAUAAUACCCACCGCUACUGCUGUCUAGUUAUUAAAAAAUAAGAAAUUAAUAUCAAAAAACUUACCACAGAUGAACGGCAAGUAGAUUGAUUCAAAUUCGAUAGAUUUCCCAGUAACACAAACGUAAAAUCGGAGUCCAGUAUCACAAGCCACAAUGUCACUAAUGCAAAAUCACGGGAGUCCAGGUACACGCAAGCGAAUGUCGUCGGUAGGGUCAAAAGUAAUGAGAGCACGUCUGAUGUCUGACAAGGGCACAACAGAAGUGAUCUCGUCAUCAACCCAUAUUCGGCUCACUGCUGAGCUCGAGUCUCCUCUCAGAAUGAGAGGGGUUAGGCCAAUAGUCCACCACGCUGGCCCAAUGCGGAUUGGCAGACUUCACACACGCAGAGAAUUAAGAUAAUUCUCUGGUAUGCAGGUUUCCUCACGAUGUUUUCCUUCACCGAUUGAGACACGUGAUAUUUAAUUUCUUAAAAUGCACACAACUGAAAAGUUGGAGGUGCAUGCCCCGGACCGGAUUCGAACCCACACCCUCCGGAAUCGGAGGCAGAGGUCAUAUCCACUGGGCUAUCACGGCUUUCAAGUAUUCACGGAUCACGGAAGUGAUCUCAGAAAGGAUAAAUCG